rfam:Anaerolineae bacterium CG2_30_64_16 cg2_3.0_scaffold_10097_c, whole genome shotgun sequence.
AGAGCGGUUUCGUAAAGCCUGGUGACCCUGGCCACUCGGAGAGUGGACCUAGCUGGCGCUGAGAUGCGCCGGGCGAGACUGAAAUCGGGGCCCAGGGUGAGACCGCUUG